AACCUGCAUGGGGGAAGGUUAGGCGGAAAAGAGGAAUUUACAGAGUAUUAGCAGAAAUUAGCCAAUACCGACACAAGCUCAAUUAGUUUUUUUUUUUUUUUUUUUUUUUUUUUUUUUUGGGUCUCUGUUGGCUGUUCUUGAACGUGAGUAAACGCUGUGCAGAGAGGGAGAGCCACAGCACACUGCCAUCUCCGAGCCGCAGCCAGGAGAUGGACUGACAGAUUGCAAAUUAAAAUAGUCCUAAUGUAAGAAUUAAUGCAGCCCCCCAAAUCUCUAAGAACACGAGCCCUUUAGUAACGAGCCCGGCGCUGAAGGAGCGUUGCUGCUGCCUGGGCUGGUUCUGCGUUAUGGAGAGAGGCUAGGGAGGGACAAUAAAGCAAGUCACGGGCAGAGAAAAUCACAAGGCAUCAUGGAGAAAGACAGUAUUACAGACCUGCUGGAGGAGCUCAGCAGGAGAAGAGAGGCAGUGCUGUGCCGACAAUGUGGUUUGAACAAUGGAGAUCUGUGAUGUCCCAGCUUUUUGGAAACUUUUAUGCUCAAGCCAAGAGGUUACUAUAGAUGGAGCUAAUCUGCACUGGUGGUGUGCUCCAGCUGUGGCUGGGCCAAGCUGGGCCACGGAGAGCCCAUGGGAUCUGCUGAAGGAACCACCAAGAUCUGCUGUGGGAGCACACGACUACGAGUGGCCCAGCUAUCGAGUGCCUGAGAAUAAGUGGUUUCUUCCACAGGAAAUGACCAGGUAUGUGUUAAAGAGAGCUGAAGAAAAGAGGAAGAACAUGGCUGUAUUGUGAGACUGAGCAGUUUGUGAAAAUUUUCCAUUUCAGCUCGUAYAAACGUGCAUGCCUUUUAGAGAUAGUAAUAAGCAUUUGAGUGUGAAUCUUGCUAAAUAUUAUGAGAUGCCCAGAUGUUGUGGCAACGGAUAACACAUACAAAUACUUAUCACAACAUAUAAAUAAGCAAACAAAAACAAUUACUAAAGGCACUUAAAUGUUAAGCGCUCUGUAUCAUCUUCUCAUCACCAAUUUUUUGCAGUGCUUUAGGUAUAACUGCUCACCCAGGAACAAACAGCAGAAAGAUACUGAUAGUUCUUUAAAAUAACAUAAAUCCUAUGAGCUGGAGUCUAGUCCCACUGAAAUUACUUUGGGUUUUGCCAUUGGUUUCAAUAGAAUGAGGCUAGGACUUUGUAUUUUCCAAAUCAGGGGCAUAUCAUUCAUCCUCAUUGUGGCAGACAUGUUAUAACAUUAACACAGUGAAGGGGCUCACCAUACAAGUUACAUCAAUAUGCAGUUUAAAUAUGUUUAGUGUAAUGUUUAUAUCUUUUUUAUUCACUUUUAUGCGAGCCUAAUACAGCCAGCCUCAUAAAGCUCACUCUUGCACCAGAUUAAAGUGGUGUCUUUGUAACGUUUACUGGUUGCUCAUAAAUCACGGUGGCACUUUGUUACUGUCCACAAGCAGUUUUUUGUGCUAAAGGUUUCAAUCAUUAAGAUGUACAGUAUUAUCUCAGGCAUAGUUUUAGUCCUGGAGAAAUUAUGCUGAGAGAUGCUUUUGUAUGUAUGGCAUUUGUAGAAAAUAGUGUGCCUACGUUUGAAAGCUGAUACAUAUGAUACCAUUAGCUGCUGCAUUAACAAGCACUUUAACUAAAUAUACAGAAAAUUCUCUUGUGUAUUUAUGCCGUGCAGUAAAAGUACUUAUCACACCAGUUUGCAAAUACCCAGUGUUUACCUUAGAUGUCUAUUUCAUCUCAAUUUAAGGUUUUCUGGGCUUUGAACACUUAGAUUUCAGGUACAAAUC
rnacentral:lncRNA from 1 species